rnacentral:rRNA from 1 species
AUUGAACGCUGGCGGCAGGCCUAACACAUGCAAGUCGAGCGAGCGGCGGACGGGUGAGUAAUGUAUGGGAACCUGCCUGAUGGCGGGGGAUAACUACUGGACACGGUAGCUAAUACCGCAUACCAUCAGAUGAACCCAUAUGGGAUUAGCUAGUAGGUGGGGUAAAGGCUCACCUAGGCGACGAUCCCUAGCUGGUCUGAGAGGAUGACCAGCCAAACGGGAACUGAGACACGGCCCAGACUCCUACGGGAGGCAGCAGUGGGGAAUAUUGCACAAUGGGCGCAAGCCUGAUGCAGCCAUGCCGCGUGUAUGAAGAAGGCCUUCGGGUUGUAAAGUACUUUCAGCGGGGAGGCGUUACCGGCAGAAGAAGCACCGGCUAACUCCGUGCCAGCAGCCGCGGUAAUAA